rnacentral:rRNA from 1 species
CGGGUGAGUAACGCGUGAGGAACCUGCCUCAAAGAGGGGGACAACAGUUGGAAACGACUGCUAAUACCGCAUAAGCCCACGGCUCGGCAUCAGCAGAGGGAAAAGGAGUGAUCCGCUUUGAGAUGGCCUCGCGUCCGAUUAGCUGGUUGGUGAGGUAACGGCCCACCAAGGCGACGAUCGGUAGCCGGACUGAGAGGUUGAACGGCCACAUUGGGACUGAGACACGGCCCAG